rnacentral:rRNA from 1 species
GUAGGUGGCAAGCGUUGUCCGGAAUUAUUGGGCGUAAAGCGCGCGCAGGCGGUUCUUUAAGUCUGAUGUGAAAGCCCACGGCUCAACCGUGGAGGGUCAUUGGAAACUGGAGAACUUGAGUACAGAAGAGGAAAGCGGAAUUCCACGUGUAGCGGUGAAAUGCGUAGAGAUGUGGAGGAACACCAGUGGCGAAGGCGGCUUUCUGGUCUGUAACUGACGCUGAGGCGCGAAAGCGUGGGGGGAGCAAACAGGAUUAGAUACCCUGGUAGUCCACGCCGUAAACGAUGAGUGCUAAGUGUCAGGGGGUUUUCCGCCCCCCCCCUUAGUGCUGCAGCUAACGCAUUAAGCACUCCGCCUGGGGAGUACGGCCGCAAGGCUG